GUGAAUCCCUUGGCUUAACCAAGGAAGGGCAUUUGAAACUGCUUGGCUUGAGUACGGGAGGGGGAAGUGGAAUUCCCGGUGUAGAGGUGAAAUUCGUAGAUAUCGGGAGGAACACCAGUGGCGAAGGCGGCUUCCUGGACCGAUACUGACGCUGAGACGCGAAAGCGUGGGGAGCAAACAGGAUUAGAUACCCUGGUAGUCCACGCCGUAAACGUUGGGCACUAGGUGUUGUGGGUAUUGACCCCUGCAGUGCCAAGGGCGAAUUCCACAGUGGAUA
rnacentral:rRNA from 1 species